rnacentral:rRNA from 1 species
UUCGAUCUGAAGCUCAGAUUGAACUGGCGGGAUGUAACUACACAUGCAAGUCGAACGUAGCACAGGCUUCGGUCUGGUGGCGAGUGGCGAACGGGUAGAUGUAUCGGAACGUGCCUAGUAGCCGGGGGAUAACUACGCGAAGCGUAGCUAAUACCAUACGCCCUUCGAGGAAAGCGGGGGACCUUCGGGCCUCGCACUAUUAGAGCGGCCGAUAUCGGAUUAGCUAGUUGGUGGGAAUAACGGCUCACCAAGGCGACGGUAUCGCCGCUGAGUUGAGAGGACGACCAGCCACACUGGGAUGAGAUGCAGCCCCGAAGACUCCUGCGGGAGGCAGCAGUGGGGGAAUUUUUGGACAAUGGGGGAAACUCAGUCCAGCCAUCCCGCGUGUGCGAUGAAGGCCUUCCGGGUUGUAAAGCACUUUUGGCAGGAAAGAAACGGCACGGGAUAAUACCGUGCAACUGACCACCUGCAGAAUAAGCACCGGCUAACUACGUACCAGCAACGAUAAUACCGUAGGGUGCAAGCGUUAAUCAAAUUGGGCGUAAAGCGUGCGCAGGCAGUUCGGAAAGAAAGAUGUGAAAUCAGGAAGCUUACUUUGGAACUGCAUUUUCUUCGAGCUAAAUGUCAGAGGGGAGUGGAGAUUCCGCGUGUUCAGCGGUAAAUGGCGAAUAUUGCGGAGAACACCACCGAUGGCGAAGAAGGCAGCCCUCUGGGAUAACACUGACGCUCUGUGCGGCGUAAGGAGCAAACGGAUGAAUGCCACCAGUGAUCCGCCUAAACGAUGUCAAUAGCUGUUGGGGCCUUCGGGCCUUGGUAGCGCAACUAACGCGUGAAGUUGACCGCCUGGGGAAGUGCGGUCGCAAGUUAAAAACUCAAAGAGUGGCAGGACCGCACAAGCGGUGGAUGAUGUGUAGUUAAUUCGAUGCAACGCGAAAAACCUACCCUUGACAUGUCUGGAAUCCCGAGGGUCGGGAGUGCUCACAAGAGAACGGAACACAGGUGCUGCAUGGCUGUCGUCAGCUCGUGUCGUGAGAUGUUGGGUUAAGUCCGCAACGAGCGCAACCGCCCCGUCCAUUAGUUGCUACGAAAGGGCACUCUAUAAUACAAGGAACUGCCAGUGUUUCAACCGGAGGAAGGUGGGGAUGACGUCAAGUCCUCAUGGCCACUUAUGGGUAGGGCUACGUCAGCACAAUGGUCGGGACAGGGUGCCAGCCGCGAAGGGGAACCAAUCCCAGGAAACCCGAUCGUAGUCCGGAUCGCAGUCUGCGCUCGACUGCGUGAGAGUCGGGACUCUUCGUAAUCGCGGAUCAGCAUGUCGCGGUGAAUACGUUCCCCCUUAACAUACCCACCGCCCGUCACCGUGGGAGUGGGUUUUACCAGAAGUAGUAGCCUAACCGUAGAGGAGGGCGGUGCCACAGUAGGAUUCAUGACUGAGGGUGAAGUCAACAAGGUAG